rnacentral:lncRNA from 1 species
CGAGAACGUAGCCAACUAGCCAUUGCAAAAUGCAGAGUACUUGCUUUCUCGACAUUUUUCGUCAUAAAAAUGGGAUUCCUGCUUGUGCUUGUAUUCUUUGAGGUUAUAAAAUGUAAAAUAUUUGUGUGGUGAAUUUACAGUCUGGUUAUGUGAGCUUCUUCAUCGUAGCACGUGCACGUGAUUGCUGCCAAGUCAUGAAGAUGCGUCUUUAAAGAGGGUCUUAACUCUAUUGCAAGACCAAAAUGUGAUGAAAACAGGAAAUCUGGAUAGUUUUCCGUGGUCAGUUUGAGCUGUUAUGGUGUUGCUGUUUGGUGUGCAGUGGUUUUGCAGUCAUUUUCCAGUUGAGAGAUGUGCUGAACUUGAGUUUGUUGUUGAAAUGUUGGGCAAAAUACGAAAAUAGUCAAUGUUGAUUGUUGACUGAAUGCUGUCGAGUGUAUUUUGUCGCUGUGUCGUCUCUUGCUACUUGUAUCGGCGUUGAGUUCAAUCGUUCGCCGCCGUUCCAUAGACCAGAUCCAUUGGUGAAACUGAAGAGAGGUUGCGGAAAUUCAAGAUUUAUUGAUAAAUUAUGUAGAUUUAGAUGAAAUACUAGUGCAUAACUGUGCUCCCUCCCCUUUUAAUUAAGUAAACAGUAACUAAUUCCCACCCAGUGGUCAAUCACCUGCAUGUAUGAGCAAAACAUUUGGAGUGUUUUGAGUCUAACCCUCUUAUGGAUAAUUGCUCCCGUAAUGCCUGUUCCACAACUUUUUAAUCUUUAUGUUCAAACCCUUUUUUUCCUUAUCUAAUUUUAUUUUUAAAGGUGCAUAUCUCUUCCUUCCUGUUACCUUAAGCAAACAUAACAACCUACCCCCUCUAAAUUUUCAAUCACUCGCAUGAUAACAGCAAAACAUUUAGAAUGUUUGAAGUUAGAACCUUCUGUGAUUAAUUGCUCUCAUGAUAACUUAUUACUUUUCUGAAUCAUAAUCUCUAUACUUGAUCAUUAUCUUCGUAAUAAUCUUAUAAAAAACACUAAGUCCAAACCAGAGCAAUUCAUCAUAGAAAAUUUAAACUUGAACAUUUUUUAUACUCUGUCCAUAUCAUGCCUGAUUGUACAUUGGGAGGUAAAAGCUGUUAAUUGUUUACAUAAAUUAAAAGGUUGAAACAAGUAUCAAAACCAUAAAUGUUAAACCAUAACAAUC